GACGUAGGGCGCGAGCGUUGUCCGGAUUUAUUGGGCGUAAAGAGCUCGUAGGCGGCUUGUUGCGUCGACCGUGAAAACCCGCGGCUUAAACUGUGGGCUUGCGGUCGAUACGGGCGGGCUGGAGUUCGGUAGGGGAGACUGGAAUUCCUGGUGUAGCGGUGAAAUGCGCAGAUAUCAGGAGGAACACCGGUGGCGAAGGCGGGUCUCUGGGCCGAUACUGACGCUGAGGAGCGAAAGCGUGGGGAGCGAACAGG
rnacentral:rRNA from 1 species